CGGGCUGUAGUGUAGAAGCAGCACGAGUCUUUCGGGAAGAUUUAGCCUGGGUGCAAAUCCCAGCAGCCCGA
rnacentral:tRNA from 1 species